GCACUACUGAUGAGUCCCAAACAGGACGAAACAGCUGUUCAGUGC
rnacentral:hammerhead_ribozyme from 1 species